rnacentral:tRNA from 1 species
CGGGGUGUAGCGCAGAUGGUAGCGCGCCUGCUUUGGGAGCAGGAUGUCGGGGGUUCAAAUCCCUUCACUCCGACCA